AAUAUAAUACAUAUUAUUUCACUUACCCCCCACGAAAACACGAUGUCAGCCAUAUUUUGCCGUCUUGUUUCCUUUUUAUCGCCGAGUCUCGCAAAUAUCAUCCAGUUGUUGUACCUUUACAUAAUCAUAAAGGGCUAAAAAAUAUUUCAACCAAAUUUCAUCAAGUUGAGAGACAAGUGCAGUGUAUUUUACCUUCGAUAUUGUGUCCUUCGAUAUUUCAUCAAAUUGCCGCCAUUUUAAUGGCUCGCCGCUUCUUUGUCCGAUAAAUGAUACUUCUUCGUUUUCAUAUGUAUUUAGAUUACAGUAUCCAAGAGUACUUCAUUGUAGAAUAGUCCCAAUCGAAAAAUUGACAACAUUUGUACCAUUUGGAAGGAAAACCCCUCCCUGUAUACAAUUUAGGUUCAAAAUAAUAAACAAAUCAUUUGAAAGGCACGCGCAAUCUUCGCGAAAACUUCUUGUGGACACAUGACAUGGGGAUGAAUAUUUUCACGAAACGUUUGUUCGCCACCACAGAAACAUAACUAAAUAUAUUGUAUUUGUGGCGAACAAACGUUUUGUGAAAAUAUUCACCCCCC